UCUAAACCAUUAUCAAUAUUCCCUGGGUUCUGUGUAGUAAGAGUUGGCCUUUUAGACAGAGUCUUCUCCAUUUCAGCCAUGGGGAAUGACAUUUGUUCUCCACGGUCUUGGUUUGAAGAAAGUGUGUAUAAUAGGAUGAACAUAACCAGAUGGAUAAGAAAAAUGACACAAAAACAUGCAAGCUUGUAAUGAGGCAUAGUUAUUGAUCAUUAGAGAAAGACAUCUGUCCGACCUAAAAAGUCAAAGAGAUAGAGUGGCUCAAUUCCAGAAUCAGGGAGACAAACAAGCAGCCCAUUUCAUCUGCAGCCAAAGUUAGAUUGCUCUAUCAGCCACGAGGGUGCUUCCAUUAUAUCCCACUCCUGCAGGAAAGGGCUAGGAUAGGAGAAGCCAGGAAGCAGAAGAAAUAACUUCACGGAUAGUUGUUCCUAUUUCUCAUGGUAUUUCCCAGAGGGACAUCACUGGCUUUUACUUUUUCCUGGACAAUUCUUUCACUUGCAAGCUUUUCUCAUUUACUCAAACAUAUUUGUUAUCCCUGGCCCCUGCAUACUAAACGCCAAAAGUGACCCAAAACUCUCGCUAGUGAGGAUGAAAUUCCCUUGAGGAGAACCACUGAGUAGAUCUUGGAACCCUUGGAGAGGAUCCUUGAGGUCAUAAAGGUUUCACAUUUCUAUUUUGUAGAUAAAGAAAGUGAACUCCAUUCCAGAUUUUAUUAAGUAGGGACAAGCCUAGAACCUGAUUUUCAUGACUCUCAGUUAUUGUGGUGUGUUUCUCCCAGAUCUUACAGUGCCUUGAUUUUAAAAGUAUACCUGAAGCCAGAAAGUUCAUGGAUUCAAUGAAACUCUGAAACAAUGAUAUAUGGUUCAAACAAGUUCUUUGAAAAGCUACAUGCUUAGCUAGCCAUAAUGUCUUAUUGGACAGAUAAGAGAAACUGCAUAAGAUGGAGACUGACAAUCAUGAAAAAAAAUUCCACAGAUAGAUCUAAACCUCUCACCUUGAGACUCACAUCUGCUGCCAGGAUAACUGAGCUGGAAGAAGUUCAAAAACUGUCUACCAUACUUAGCAAAAAUCUUUAUCCCCAAAGAAACUGAGGACUUGUUACUCUGAGUAUGUCUCCAAGAGCAAGAUAAAAUGAUGAGCUAAGUCUCUUUCAUAGUCCAAGCACCAUGAAAGACACUGGAAUAUAGCAGUGACAUGUGUAAACACUGCCCUCCUGAACUUACAGUUUAAUAUUGUUGUUUAAUCGCUAAGCUGU